GUUUUCUCAGUCAUUCCAUGAGAAUAAAGUUCAAGUUUUUAAGCAGGUCAGCAAAAGAACUGAAUGACAUGUAAAACUUUGGAGAGCUGCCGUGCAUGGCUUGCUUCUGAAAGCUAUGCAUGAAAUGUGACCUUGACCCUUCCCUCCUACCUAUGCAAUUCAAGAAUUUGAGAUUGUUGCUUUUGUUACUUUUGCAAAUUUAGGUGGAGGAAGGUACACCAGAGCUUAGAUGACAGACAUCUGUCUCCACAGACCAAAGUGCUUCUCUGCAUGCAAAAAUAUCUAUUUUGUGCCCAAGAAGUUGAAAUGGAGAGAGUGCAGCGCCUCUGCCAGUAAGAUGGUGUACACAAUAGCUGCAUUAUUUUAAAUCUCUCCAACUUAACAACUCCUCAGUGGCUGAACUGACAUUAUCUCCCUUGGCUGAUUACGCUUCCUGCUGGUGAAUUGCUGUCAAGAGUAAGAGAAGAAACUCUUGGUGGGGCAGAUAAAAUCUGCUAAUCAGUUCUGCUAUAAUUAAUGUAGAAUUUAAAGCAGAAAAAUACAGACUGUCAGUAAUGUGCUCAAUAAUUUGUGCCAAGACCUGUUUAUCAAUAGUGCUUAUCUUUGGGAAGGAGCAUAGUUAAUUUCUUCAGUAGUCCAUAAAUUAUUACAGAAAUUACAAAUCUGCUAUAAAAUCAAUACAACUAAUUGUAAAUUAAUAGAUUUCUAAGUGUGAAGGAGCAUGUAAUAAUGUAGAUGAGUCCUUGACUGAACGUGCCAGUUCUGGUGUUAGGGGUGGGAGCUUCCCACUGUUUUAUGUGACAUCUUCAAGUGUAAACACAUUUCUUUUCCUUUCCCCAACUGAUUUAGCCUGCUACUGUAGCAAGUAACAUUUCCAUUAGCCUCCCACAGUUAAGUCGUGGAGUAACUAUAAUCACAAAAACAUCCAACAUGCAAGCAAACUAAUAGAGCAGCAACUGUGGUCAUAGCUUAUCUCCAUCUUACAGGCAUUUGUGAGUUCACCUCAGCUGGUGCAGAAACAAAUCCCUUUAAACUGAUUCUAAUGGGGAAUAAAUACGUUUUAUUACAAUACA
rnacentral:lncRNA from 1 species